CCUGGGUAUUCAGAGGGGACGAUGCCAGUCCAGAUAACAGUCCCAGGUGUCUUAGUAAAAGGCCAAGGCCUGUAGCUGUUCGUGAACGAACUGUAAGGAUUGCUAAAGGCACUGGUGAUUACCCCUGGGGAUUCAGAAUCCAGUUCUCAAAGCCCAUCCUGGUGACUGAAGUGGACACCAACAGUGCAGCAGAAGAAGCAGGCCUUCAGAUUGGAGAUAUUGUCUUGGCUGUCAACGGCACUGAUGUCACCAGCAUACCACAUUCAGAAGCUGC